rnacentral:misc_RNA from 1 species
AACGCACAUUGCGCCUUCUGGUAUUCCGGGAGGCACGUCUGUUUGAGCGUCAGCAAAAACCCAAUCAGUGACGGUUUAUCAAUGAACCCCACCGGAUAUGGGGCUGGGCGCGGUGCACAUGCUGUUACCGUCCCCACCCUGAAUUUGGCCGAAGCUAGCGGGCCGGUACCCCACGACCACGACGUAGUAAAUGUAACAGUUAAACCGUCUGUCUAUCGGGGGGAUGCGUGCCCUUGCCUCUCCAUGUUUGGAGCCUUGGGUCGGAGCAAUCCGAUCCUUCUGACGUUUGACCUCAAAUCAGAUGAGGAUACCCGCUGAACUUAA